rnacentral:rRNA from 1 species
GGGUUGUGAGGUUAAGCGACUAAGCGUACACGGUGGAUGCCCUGGCAGUCAGAGGCGAUGAAGGACGUGCUAAUCUGCGAUAAGCGUCGGUAAGGUGAUAUGAACCGUUAUAACCGGCGAUUUCCGAAUGGGGAAACCCAGUGUGAUUCGUCACACUAUCAUUAACUGAAUCCAUAGGUUAAUGAGGCGAACCGGGGGAACUGAAACAUCUAAGUACCCCGAGGAAAAGAAAUCAACCGAGAUUCCCCCAGUAGCGGCGAGCGAACGGGGAGCAGCCCAGAGCCUGAAUCAGUGUGUGUGUUAGUGGAAGCGUCUGGAAAGGCGCGCGAUACAGGGUGACAGCCCCGUACACAAAAAUGCACAUGCUGUGAGCUCGAUGAGUAGGGCGGGACACGUGGUAUCCUGUCUGAAUAUGGGGGGACCAUCCUCCAAGGCUAAAUACUCCUGACUGACCGAUAGUGAACCAGUACCGUGAGGGAAAGGCGAAAAGAACCCCGGCGAGGGGAGUGAAAAAGAACCUGAAACCGUGUACGUACAAGCAGUGGGAGCCUCUUUAUGGGGUGACUGCGUACCUUUUGUAUAAUGGGUCAGCGACUUAUAUUCUGUAGCAAGGUUAACCGAAUAGGGGAGCCGAAGGGAAACCGAGUCUUAACUGGGCGUUAAGUUGCAGGGUAUAGACCCGAAACCCGGUGAUCUAGCCAUGGGCAGGUUGAAGGUUGGGUAACACUAACUGGAGGACCGAACCGACUAAUGUUGAAAAAUUAGCGGAUGACUUGUGGCUGGGGGUGAAAGGCCAAUCAAACCGGGAGAUAGCUGGUUCUCCCCGAAAGCUAUUUAGGUAGCGCCUCGUGAAUUCAUCUCCGGGGGUAGAGCACUGUUUCGGCAAGGGGGUCAUCCCGACUUACCAACCCGAUGCAAACUGCGAAUACCGGAGAAUGUUAUCACGGGAGACACACGGCGGGUGCUAACGUCCGUCGUGAAGAGGGAAACAACCCAGACCGCCAGCUAAGGUCCCAAAGUCAUGGUUAAGUGGGAAACGAUGUGGGAAGGCCCAGACAGCCAGGAUGUUGGCUUAGAAGCAGCCAUCAUUUAAAGAAAGCGUAAUAGCUCACUGGUCGAGUCGGCCUGCGCGGAAGAUGUAACGGGGCUAAACCAUGCACCGAAGCUGCGGCAGCGACGCUUAUGCGUUGUUGGGUAGGGGAGCGUUCUGUAAGCCUGCGAAGGUGUACUGUGAGGUAUGCUGGAGGUAUCAGAAGUGCGAAUGCUGACAUAAGUAACGAUAAAGCGGGUGAAAAGCCCGCUCGCCGGAAGACCAAGGGUUCCUGUCCAACGUUAAUCGGGGCAGGGUGAGUCGACCCCUAAGGCGAGGCCGAAAGGCGUAGUCGAUGGGAAACAGGUUAAUAUUCCUGUACUUGGUGUUACUGCGAAGGGGGGACGGAGAAGGCUAUGUUGGCCGGGCGACGGUUGUCCCGGUUUAAGCGUGUAGGCUGGUUUUCCAGGCAAAUCCGGAAAAUCAAGGCUGAGGCGUGAUGACGAGGCACUACGGUGCUGAAGCGACAAAUGCCCUGCUUCCAGGAAAAGCCUCUAAGCAUCAGGUAACAACAAAUCGUACCCCAAACCGACACAGGUGGUCAGGUAGAGAAUACCAAGGCGCUUGAGAGAACUCGGGUGAAGGAACUAGGCAAAAUGGUGCCGUAACUUCGGGAGAAGGCACGCUGAUAUGUAGGUGAAGCGACUUGCUCGUGGAGCUGAAAUCAGUCGAAGAUACCAGCUGGCUGCAACUGUUUAUUAAAAACACAGCACUGUGCAAACACGAAAGUGGACGUAUACGGUGUGACGCCUGCCCGGUGCCGGAAGGUUAAUUGAUGGGGUUAGCGGUAACGCGAAGCUCUUGAUCGAAGCCCCGGUAAACGGCGGCCGUAACUAUAACGGUCCUAAGGUAGCGAAAUUCCUUGUCGGGUAAGUUCCGACCUGCACGAAUGGCGUAAUGAUGGCCAGGCUGUCUCCACCCGAGACUCAGUGAAAUUGAACUCGCUGUGAAGAUGCAGUGUACCCGCGGCAAGACGGAAAGACCCCGUGAACCUUUACUAUAGCUUGACACUGAACAUUGAGCCUUGAUGUGUAGGAUAGGUGGGAGGCUUUGAAGUGUGGACGCCAGUCUGCAUGGAGCCGACCUUGAAAUACCACCCUUUAAUGUUUGAUGUUCUAACGUUGGCCCGUAAUCCGGGUUGCGGACAGUGUCUGGUGGGUAGUUUGACUGGGGCGGUCUCCUCCUAAAGAGUAACGGAGGAGCACGAAGGUUGGCUAAUCCUGGUCGGACAUCAGGAGGUUAGUGCAAUGGCAUAAGCCAGCUUGACUGCGAGCGUGACGGCGCGAGCAGGUGCGAAAGCAGGUCAUAGUGAUCCGGUGGUUCUGAAUGGAAGGGCCAUCGCUCAACGGAUAAAAGGUACUCCGGGGAUAACAGGCUGAUACCGCCCAAGAGUUCAUAUCGACGGCGGUGUUUGGCACCUCGAUGUCGGCUCAUCACAUCCUGGGGCUGAAGUAGGUCCCAAGGGUAUGGCUGUUCGCCAUUUAAAGUGGUACGCGAGCUGGGUUUAGAACGUCGUGAGACAGUUCGGUCCCUAUCUGCCGUGGGCGCUGGAGAACUGAGGGGGGCUGCUCCUAGUACGAGAGGACCGGAGUGGACGCAUCACUGGUGUUCGGGUUGUCAUGCCAAUGGCACUGCCCGGUAGCUAAAUGCGGAAGAGAUAAGUGCUGAAAGCAUCUAAGCACGAAACUUGCCCCGAGAUGAGUUCUCCCUGACCCUUUAAGGGUCCUGAAGGAACGUUGAAGACGACGACGUUGAUAGGCCGGGUGUGUAAGCGCAGCGAUGCGUUGAGCUAACCGGUACUAAUGAACCGUGAGGCUUAACCUUACAACGCCGAAGGUGUUU